CCUACGGGUGACAGCAGUGGGGAAUAUUGCACAAUGGGGGAAACCCUGAUGCAGCGACGCCGCGUGAGUGAAGAAGUAAUUCGUUAUGUAAAGCUCUAUCAGCAGGGAAGAAAAUGACGGUACCUGAGUAAGAAGCCCCGGCUAACUACGUGCCAGCAGCCGCGGUAAUACGUAGGGGGCCAGCGUUAUCCGGAUUUACUGGGUGUAAAGGGGGCGUAGACGGCAGUGCAAGUCUGGAGUGAAAGGCGGGGGCUAAACCCCCGGACUGCUGUGGAAACUGUAUGGCUGGAGUGCAGGAGAGGUAGGUGGAAUUCGUGGUGUAGCGGUGAAAGGCGUAGAUAUUAGGAGGAACCCCAGGGGCGAAGGCGGCUUACGGGAGUGUUACUGACGUUGAGGCUCGAAGGCGCGGGUAGCAAACAGGAUUAGAUACCCGAGUAGUC
rnacentral:rRNA from 1 species